CCUACGGGGGGCAGCAGUGGGGAAUAUUGCGCAAUGGGGGCAACCCUGACGCAGCAACGCCGCGUGAUUGAAGAAGGCCUUCGGGUUGUAAACUCCUUUUGUUAGAGAAGAUAAUGACGGUAUCUAACGAAUAAGCACCGGCUAACUCCGUGCCAGCAGCCGCGGUAAUACGGAGGGUGCAAGCGUUACUCGGAAUCACUGGGCGUAAAGAGCGCGUAGGCGGGAUAGCAAGUCAGAUGUGAAAUCCUAUGGCUUAACCAUAGAACUGCAUUUGAAACUGUUAUUCUAGAGUAUGGGAGAGGUAGGUGGAAUUCUUGGUGUAGGGGUAAAAUCCGUAGAGAUCAAGAGGAAUACUCAUUGCGAAGGCGACCUGCUAGAACAUAACUGACGCUGAUGCGCGAAAGCGUGGGGAGCAAACAGGAUUAUAUACCCCGGUAGUC
rnacentral:rRNA from 1 species